AGACAGCAGCAGCCACGGUAAUACGGAGGGUGCAAGCGUUAAUCGGAAUUACUGGGCGUAAAGCGCACGCAGGCGGUUUGUUAAGUCAGAUGUGAAAUCCCCGGGCUCAACCUGGGAACUGCAUCUGAUACUGGCAAGCUUGAGUCUCGUAGAGGGGGGUAGAAUUCCAGGUGUAGCGGUGAAAUGCGUAGAGAUCUGGAGGAAUACCGGUGGCGAAGGCGGCCCCCUGGACGAAGACUGACGCUCAGGUGCGAAAGCGUGGGGAGCAAACAGGAUUAGAUACCCCGGUAGUCCCUGUCUCUUAUAC
rnacentral:rRNA from 1 species